rnacentral:miRNA from 1 species
UAAAUAUUUUCUUUGUAUAAA